rnacentral:rRNA from 1 species
UACGUAGGGUGCGAGCGUUGUCCGGAAUUAUUGGGCGUAAAGAGCUUGUAGGCGGUUUGUCGCGUCUGCUGUGAAAUCUCAAGGCUCAACCUUGAGCUUGCAGUGGGUACGGGCAGACUAGAGUGUGGUAGGGGAGACUGGAAUUCCUGGUGUAGCGGUGAAAUGCGUAGAUAUCUGGAGGAACACCGGUGGCGAAGGCGGCGUUCUGGACUGCAACUGACACUGAGGAACGAAAGCCAGGGGAGCAAACGGG